CGUGUAGGCUGUCCUGUAAGUCAGAUGUUAAAUCUACGAGCUCAACUCGUAGCCGCAUUUGAUACUGCGGGACUAGAGAGUGCUAGAGGAAAGCGGAACUUCCAGUGUAGCGGUGAAAUGCGUAGAUAUUGGAAGGAACACCAGUGGCGAAGGCGGCUUUCUGGGGCAUUUCUGACGCUGAGGCGCGAAAGCUAGGGGAGCAAACG
rnacentral:rRNA from 1 species